GCAGACAAAACUCCUCAGACACCGAGUUAAAGAAGGAAGGGGUUUAUUCAGCCGGGGGCAUCAGCAAGACUCCUGUCUCAAGAGCCGAGCUCCCUGAGUGAGCAAUUCCUGUCCCUUUUAAGGGCUCACCACUCUAAGGGGGUGCACGUGAGAGGGUCGUGAUCGAUUCAGCAAGCAGGAGUCUUCCCUAAGAUUUUUCUCUGCGAGGGAAUCAAACUGCUCUAUGAAGCUCUAUGAAGAGGCUUAUAUGGAAAGAUACAGAGACUUUCUGCCAGCAACCAUGUGGUCAGCCCACACAGAAGUGGAUGUUCCAGGCCAGGUCAAACCUUCAUUCACUGCAGCCCCAGCUGAACUCUCAACUACAACCUCAUGAGAAUUCCUCAGAAGAAUCACCCAGCAAAGCCGCUCCUGAAUUCCUAACUCACAGGAAUUGCGAGUAAUAAAUGUUUGGUAUUUAAUCCACUAAGUUAGAAGUAAUUUCUUAUACAAUAUGAAUAACUAAUACAGAUUUUAAUGGUUUUAAUAAAGGAUUAGAUUAAAAUUAUAUUCAAAGGUUCUAAUGCUAAAAAGGACUCUUUUGUUUCCUAAGAAUACUUUAUUAAUAUUUUUAGCUGUGGUGCACUCUAUAUAAAUGGUCAAUGAAAAGAGAAUUUUCAGGUUGGAGAAUCUUUCAGUGAGUCCUCAAAGCAUAUCAUAAAGUUGGCUGGCUAGUCUUUUCUCACCUAAGACUGUCUUGCUAAUUCCGCUGAAUUCCCAUUCUCUUGCCACCUCCCCUCCUCCACACCAAUUCAACUGUAUUCCAUCAUUUUCAGCCUGCCUUGCUCCAAUUUCUAAUGGAAAUGCAGUUGACUCUUGAACAACAUGGGUUUGAGCCACACGAAUCUGCUUGUAUGCAGAUUUUCUUCCAUCUCUGCCACCGCUGAGGCAGCAAGACCAACCCUUCAUCUUCCUCCUUUUCCUCAGCCUACUCAAAGUAAAGAUGACAAGGAAGACCUUUAUGAUGAUCCAUCUCCACAUAACGAAUAGUAAAUAUAUUUUCUCUUCCUUGUGAUUUUCUUAAUAACAUUUUCUUUUCUCUAACUUUAUUGUAAGAAUACAGCAUACAAUACGUAUAUAAGAUACGUGUUAAUUGGCUGUUUAUGUUAUUAGUAAGGCCUCUGGUCAACAGUAAGCUACUAGUUGUUAAGUUUUGGGGGAGUAAAAGUUAUAUGUGAAAUUUUGACUGCACAGUAAUCAGUUCCUCUAACCCUCAUAUUGUUCAAGGGUUCAUGGUAUUACCAAAUAAUACUACAAAUAUUUUUGGAUAUCUUUAACAACUCAAAAAAUAAAGCAUAUAUUGUGAAUAAAUAUAUUAUCAUCUCUAACACAAAAACAUUAUCAUGAAUGUGAUUUGAUGGAAUCAAAGACAGGUGUGGGGAGAUGGGAGGAAGGAGUGGGAAUGAUUAAGCUCCUUAGAAAUUUCCAUCAGCUUCUAUCAAGCCACUUCAGUAAUCAUACCAUCCUUGUAAAAACAGUAUGUGCUUCUUAUAGAAAUAAAGCUUUAAGACAAAUUCCCUAGUCCCUAUUUGGAAAGGGAUUGAAUCCCCCAAGCCCCUUAAAUGUAGAAAUUCCAUAUACGCUAUUGCUAACCAUGGUCAUACUUGUUAGUUAAUAUUCCUAAAGUCAGCCCAAGUAUGAGACUAUGUAUUAUAAGUUAAUAGGAUGAGCAUCUGAUAGUAAUUAAUAUUUUGACCAGCUUAAUUACUGAGUCAAUAAUUUAAUUGUCUUUGAUCAAUUAAAUUAACUAGUGCAAGAGUCAUCCUCCAAGUUUGGCAGUAAAGGAUAACUUAGAAUAAUUAAUGUCCAACUGUGGCUUAUUUCCAAAGACAAUUAAUGAUUUGUAGCUCCUUACAAAUUUUACUGUUGUUAUGGAUUAAUUGGUAUCUAACUUUGAAUUAGACAGAAUCAAAUAAAAUAUAUUAAUUAUUCAGCCAUGACAUAAUUUACAGAACCUAGUCACCAUCACUGAAUAUUUCUUUAAUUGGUAUAUAGAAACCAGAAUACUGAGCCAGCUCAAUAACUGCUAAGUUUUUAAAAUACGUGUAGUUUCUGUUGGCUUCUUACCAGGAUUUUCUUCCAUGUACCUACAUAAUUUUCAUAGGACUUGAAAGUUUUUGCUUUGAUUUUAAUUACUACCUGCAGUAUCUUCUCAUUAAUCAGUUUUCAAGCAAUUAAUUGUAUCAUAAGUGGAAAGUAUUGACCGAAUUACUUAAAGGCCAUUUCCAGAAUUAGACAUGGCAAUUAAUUUCCUGGUGUCUAUGUUAAUAAGUUGUCAUAGAUUGUUUGACAGACAGUGAUUACAAUCUACAUCAGCCAUGCAAAUACACAAAGCAGGCUUAUCGGCUUGCCUAAUAAUAAAGGAAGGCUGGGUUUUAAAAGGAGAAAGGAGGUAAAAUCUGAGCCAACUACAUUGUUGGGGAGGCAGUACUAUCUCAGUCACAAAGAUGUAGCAUUGCUAGAGAUUGUCAAAGCCUUUUCCAGGUCUUGAAAAAUUCAGUUUAGAAUAUGUUCUUGGCUGCCCUAAAUUCAACCAAGCAUGACCACAUUUCUACCAUGAUUGCAAGAUACAUAUUAUUACAUAUGGAAAAAUGUUUAUGUCUUAGGAAAUUUUUUGACUUUGCUAUGGAAAAGAUAUCUGAAGUCCAUUUUUAUAAAAAAUGUUAAUUUAUUUCUAAAUUGUAUCCACUAACAUAGGCACUCUUGUAUAAUUCAUUAAUUUUUUCAGCCAUUUCUCUUUUUUUGCCAAACCAAGGUAUGUAAUGUUUGUUUAGUUCCUUAAAAGUGGUUUGUAAUUAUGAUUUUAAUGAACAUAUUUUCAUGUAUGAAAUAUUUCAAACAGAUUGUAAAAUACAGAGUGUAGUAUGACAAACACUAAUGAGUAUCUCAGGUAGAUUUAAUAGAUGUAUACAUUUUUGUUUUCACUUCCAAUCUCUUUAUUAAAACAAUUAUUUCUAUGAAUUUUUAAAUACCUUUUCACAAAUAUAAUUAUGUGGCAUAAUAUAUAAUUAUAUAACUAUCUAUAUAGUUGCAAC
ensembl:lncRNA novel transcript